AAGUUGGUAGGGUAAUGGCCUACCAAGGCUAAGACGGGUAGGGGACCUGAGAGGGUGACCCCCCACAAUGGUACCGAAACACGGACCAUACACCUACGGGUGGCAGCAGUAGGGAAUAUUGCACAAUGGACGAAAGUCUGAUGCAGCAACGCCGCGUGUGCGAUGAAGGUCUUCGGACUGUAAAGCACUUUUCUGAGGGAAGAGGAAGGACGGUACCUCAGGAAUAAGUCUCGGCUAACUACGUGCCAGCAGCCGCGGUAACACAUAGGAGGCAAGCGUUAUCCGGAUUUACUGGGCGUAAAGCGCGUGCAGGCGGUUUGGUAAGUUGGAUGUGAAAGCUCCCGGCUCAACUGGGAGAUGCCGUUCAAUACUGCCAGACUAGAGGACGGUAGAGGGAGGUGGAAUUCCCGGUGUAGUGGUGAAAUGCGUAGAUAUCGGGAGGAACACCAGUGGCGAAAGCGGCCUCCUGGGCCGAUCCUGACGCUAAGACGCGAAAGCAUGGGUAGCAAACGGGAUUAGAAACCCCGGUAGUCCAUGCCGUAAACGAUGCGAACUUGGUGUUGGUGGUGUAAAAGCCGUCAGUACCGCAGCUAACGCGAUAAGUUCGCCGCCUGGGGAUUACGACCGCAAGGUUAAAACUCAAAGGAAUUGACGGGUUCCCGCACAAGCAGCGGAGCGUGUGGUUUAAUUCGAUCUACGCGAAGAACCUUACCUGGGCUUGACAUAUAGGUGGUAGGGAGCCGAAAGGUGACCGACCCUUCGGGGAGCCUAUACAGGUGCUGCAUGGCUGUCGUCAGCUCGUGUCGUGAGAUGUCCGGUUAAGUCCGGUAACGAGCGCAACCCUUGCCGUAUGUUACAAGUGUCAUACGGGACUGCCGGUAUAAAGCCGGGGGAAGGCGGGGAUGACGUCAAGUCAGCAUGGCCUUUAUGUCCAGGGCUACACACACGCUACAAUGGUCGGUACAAUGGGUCGCAAAACCGCGAGGUGGAGCCAAUCCUCAAAACCGAUCUCAGUUCGGAUUGCAGGCUGCAACUCGCCUGCAUGAAGCUGGAGUUGCUAGUAAACGCGCGUCAGCAACAGUGCGUUGAAUACGUUCCCGGGAAUUGUACACACCGCCCGUCACGUCAUGGGAGCUGGCAACACCUAAAGUCGGUAUCCUAACCCUAACGGGAAGGAGCUGCCAAAGGUGGGGCUGGUGACUGGGACGAAGUCGUAACAAGGUAGGUGUACCGGAAGGUGCGCCUGG
rnacentral:rRNA from 1 species